CUAACACAUGCAAGUCGAACGGUAACAGGAAGCAGCUUGCUGCUUCGCUGACGAGUGGCGGACGGGUGAGUAAUGUCUGGGAAACUGCCUGAUGGAGGGGGAUAACUACUGGAAACGGUAGCUAAUACCGCAUAACGUCGCAAGACCAAAGAGGGGGACCUUCGGGCCUCUUGCCAUCAGAUGUGCCCAGAUGGGAUUAGCUAGUAGGUGGGGUAACGGCUCACCUAGGCGACGAUCCCUAGCUGGUCUGAGAGGAUGACCAGCCACACUGGAACUGAGACACGGUCCAGACUCCUACGGGAGGCAGCAGUGGGGAAUAUUGCACAAUGGGCGCAAGCCUGAUGCAGCCAUGCCGCGUGUAUGAAGAAAGGCUUCGGGUUGUAAAGUACUUUCAGCGGGGAGGAAGGCGAUGCGGUUAAUAACCGCGUCGAUUGACGUUACCCGCAGAAGAAGCACCGGCUAACUCCGUGCCAGCAGCCGCGGUAAUACGGAGGGUGCAAGCGUUAAUCGGAAUUACUGGGCGUAAAGCGCACGCAGGCGGUCUGUCAAGUCGGAUGUGAAAUCCCCGGGCUCAACCUGGGAACUGCAUCCGAAACUGGCAGGCUUGAGUCUCGUAGAGGGGGGUAGAAUUCCAGGUGUAGCGGUGAAAUGCGUAGAGAUCUGGAGGAAUACCGGUGGCGAAGGCGGCCCCCUGGACGAAGACUGACGCUCAGUGCGAAAGCUGGG
rnacentral:rRNA from 1 species